rnacentral:rRNA from 1 species
GAUCAACGCUGGCGGCGCACAUAAGACAUGCAAGUUGAACGGACUUAAUCGAAAUAUUUCUAUUUUGAAGCGGUUAGUGGCGGACUGGUGAGUAACGCGUAAGGAACCUGCCUAUUAGAGGGGAAUAACAGUGAGAAAUCAUUGCUAAUACCGCAUAUGCCAUAGAUAUCACAUGAUAACAGUGGGAAAGGAGCAAUCCGCUAAUAGAUGGCCUUGCGUCUGAUUAGAUAGUUGGUGGGGUAACGGCCUACCAAGUCGACGAUCAGUAGCCGGACUGAGAGGUUGAACGGCCAAAUUGGGACUGAGGUACCGCCCAGACCCCUACGGGAGGGAGCAGGCGGGAAUAGUGCGCAAUGGAGGGAACUCUGACGGAGGGACGCCGCGUAAAAGAAGAAGGUUUUCGGAAUGUAAACUAUUGUCGUUAGGGAAGAGAAAGGACAGUACCUAAGGAGGAAGCCCCGGCUAACUACGUG